rnacentral:rRNA from 1 species
AACGCUGGCGGCGUGCCUAACACAUGCAAGUCGCACGAGAAAGGGAUUUCGGUCCUGAGUAAAGUGGCGCACGGGUGAGUAACACGUGACUAAUCUACCCUCGAGUGGGGAAUAACCUAGGGAAACCUGGGCUAAUACCGCAUAACACUUACGAGUCAAAGCAGCAAUGCGCUUGGGGAGGAGGUCGCGGCAGAUUAGCUAGUUGGCGGGGUAAUGGCCCACCAAGGCGAUGAUCUGUAUCCGGCCUGAGAGGGCGCACGGACACACUGGAACUGAAACACGGUCCAGACUCCUACGGGAGGCAGCAGUGGGGAAUUUUGCGCAAUGGGGGAAACCCUGACGCAGCAACGCCGCGUGGAGGAUGAAGUCUCUUGGGACGUAAACUCCUUUCGAUAGGGAAGAUAAUGACGGUACCUAUAGAAGA